GGGGAUUUAGCUCAGCGGUAGAGUGCUUGCCUAGCAAGCGCAAGGCCCUGGGUUCGAUCCCCAGCUCUG
rfam:Rattus norvegicus chromosome 1, whole genome shotgun sequence.